rnacentral:rRNA from 1 species
AGUGAACGCUGGCGGUAGGCCUAACACAUGCAAGUCGAACGGCAGCACAGUAAGAGCUUGCUCUUACGGGUGGCGAGUGGCGGACGGGUGAGGAAUACAUCGUAAUCUACUUUUUCGUGGGGGAUAACGUAGGGAAACUUACGCUAAUACCGCAUACGACCUACGGGUGAAAGCAGUGGAUCUUCGGACCUUGCGCGAUUGAAUGAGCCGCUGUCGGAUUAGCUAGUUGGCGGGGUAAAGGCCCACCAAGGCGACGAUCCGUAGCUGGUCUGAGAGGAUGAUCAGCCACACUGGAACUGAGACACGGUCCAGACUACUACGGGAGGCAGCAGUGGGGAAUAUUGGACAAUGGGCGCAAGCCUGAUCCAGCCAUACCGCGUGGGUGACGAAGGCCUUCGGGUUGUAAAGACCUUUUGUUGGGAAAGAACAGCAGCAGGUUAAUACCCAGCUGUUCUGACGGUACCCAAAGAAUAAGCACCGGCUAACUUCGUG